rnacentral:rRNA from 1 species
AAGAGACUGCCGGUGUUAAACCGGAGGAAGUGGGGAUGACGUCAAGUCCUCAUGGCCUUUAUGCCCAGGGCUACACACGUGCUACAAUGGGUGGCACAAAGAGAUGCAAUCUCGCAAGAGCAAGCAAACCUCAAAAAGCCAUCCUCAGUUCGGAUUGGAGUCUGCAACUCGACUCCAUGAAGUCGGAAUCGCUAGUAAUCGCGGAUCAGCACGCCGCGGUGAAUACGUUCCCGGGCCUU